UCAGAGCAGCCUUGUGCACAACUAUGUACUAAGACGAAAUACCCUGUUCCCGUGUACGUUGGCAUUCAGCUUUUGGGCAUCAGAAUAGAGCGUGAAGGUGUGACGAGAGGGAUGGCACUCUCAGUGCCACUUUCCGCCCGGGCACUGGCAGUAGUGCCCCGUUCGCAGUCAAGACUGUAGUGCCCAGCGAAACAACCCGAUAGCGUUUUGUGUUUCGAGAAUUUAAAGAACAAUUUAGUUGAGAAAAUAAACAGUGUGAAGAAUCUCUUCUCUUGGCAAUAACCGACACGGAUUUAUUUGAUGGUGUUUAACUAACCGUGAAGACUGAAUGGCUACCUGUUAAAUGUGUGAUUGGAUUAAUUAGUGUCGUUUGAAGAUAAUAAUCUCCAUUGUGCUGUCGGAAAUAUAUUAGUCAAAAUAAAAGAAAGAGUCGAAAAAUGAAGAGAAUCAUUAUUUUAUUGUUAACGUUGCCUUAAAGACAAAUGUGAGAAUACUGAAAGAACUGCAGACACUACCCAAAAAUAAACAAGAAACAAAUAAAGAUUAAAAUACAAAAA